UGUUGCAGAUUUUUGGACCGCUGCUCUCUGAAGACGGAACCAUCGGGCCCACGCCAAAACCAAGUCUUUGUAGCAAAAGAGAUAAUGGUGACAUCGCAGCAGAGCCAGUACAUCAGGCAGCACCGAGACUGGUUUGUGAGUCGGGAAAAGCUGUAGAAACGUCAUCAGGGCCAGCGUGUGAGCCGGGCCGUGUCACCGAUAAAUCUGUUCAAGUGCGGCUACUAAUCCACCACGAAGCAUCACAAGCGGAUGAAAAGAAAAUUCUGUCAACAAGUGCUACACAAACAGAGCCUAAAGCCGUUUCUUCAGGUAUGUCUUCGCAUUUGCCGUGAGAUAAAAAAAGUGUUUUGCGGCAAGUGUUUUGCGGCAAUGAAUGAUAUAGCAGUAAAUUGGAA